GUGAAGUUCUGGAAAAGGUUGAAGUUUG
rnacentral:sRNA from 1 species